UACGAAGGGUGCUAGCGUUGUUCGGAAUUACUGGGCGUAAAGCGUGCGCAGGCGGUCCUUCAAGUCAGAGGUGAAAGCCCAGAGCUCAACUCUGGAAUGGCCUUUGAGACUAGAGGACUUGGGUACGGGAGAGGUGAGUGGAAUUCCGAGUGUAGAGGUGAAAUUCGUAGAUAUUCGGAAGAACACCAGUGGCGAAGGCGGCUCACUGGCCCGUUACCGACGCUCAGGCGCGACAGCGUGGGGAGCAAACAGG
rnacentral:rRNA from 1 species